rnacentral:lncRNA from 1 species
GGACUGAAGUGGUGUGUGUGGAGUGUCACAGUCAAUAUCAUCAGCAUCUUGGUGUAUAUAUAUAGGUGUGGUGCGGUCAAUAGUCUGGUCUACGGUCUUUUGUAAAUACCUUUGCACACGUGGAACCACACAAGUUAGGAAGAGGAAGAAGAUCAUGACAGUAGAACUGCCAUCUCUAUUUGGAAAAGAGUCCUUUGCCAUCCACUCAUCCAUCCAAACCAUUUAUCCCAAGAAUUGGGAACCCCUGAAUUCUUUUUUAAUUCGUCAGAGAGAUUUUCUAAUUUCACUAUGGCCAUAGUCACUUUACCAUUAGGACCAGCAUUGUCUGGAAUAAAAGUACAACACGUCAUCGUCUCAGGGAGUAUUUUACAUACGCCCCCCUUUUCGGCCCAAAUCAUAUCUA